AUUUACACAGAUUCUUCUUUGACAAAGAUUUUGAUGGGUCGUCGAUACAUAAGAAAGGAGGAAAACGUAAAUUAUAGUCAACGUUCCCAUGAGAGUGCGUGUAUUCUGCUUACAAAACGACCGAACCCUGUUAGCUCGUAUCUUUCAAGCAGCGUAUCUCGUUUCGCAUCGAACGAUUGCUUCCCGAUACUCUAUUUCUGAUUAACAACGAACCAAAAGCAACGUGAACACGAUUGCGUGCUGUGAACAUGACUGAAAGACGAUAUUUACCGUUUUAGUUGCAUCGUCUUAAGCUUUUCCCUCUGCUUUGAGAAAACAUGGCCGAAACUUCAACGGAAGAUUCACUUGUCGUUGGUUUAAUUAACUGAGAGAUAAAUGUGGGGGAAAACAGAAUACUCUUCUAAAGGGAAAAGGAUAAAACAAAUGGAAGGAAGCUGGUUUAAAGGUACAGAAAUUUCGACAAUGAUAUUUUUACCUCUUGGUUUAAUCCACUGUUAAAACUUUCAUGGAGAAGCAGCAACGACGAAGGAAAAGAAAAAAAAAAAAAA